rnacentral:rRNA from 1 species
GAUGAACGCUGGCGGCGUGCCUAAUACAUGCAAGUCGAGCGAACGGACGAGAAGCUUGCUUCUCUGAUGUUAUCGGCGGACGGGUGAGUAACACGUGGAUAACCUACCUAUAAGACUGGGAUAACUUCGGGAAACCGGAGCUAAUACCGGAUAAUAUUUUGAACCGCAUGGUUCAAAAGUGAAAGACGGUCUUGCUGUCACUUAUAGAUGGAUCCGCGCUGCAUUAGCUAGUUGGUAAGGUAACGGCUUACCAAGGCAACGAUGCAUAGCCGACCUGGGAGGGGGUUCGGCAACCCGGGAACUAGGCCAGGGUCCAGACCCCUAGGGGGGGCAGAGUAAGGGAAUCUGCCGCAAGGGGCGAAAGCCUGCCGGACCAAGCCGGCGUGAGGGAGAAGGGUUUUCGAUUCGUAAACCUUGGUAUUUAGGAAGAAAAAAAGUUGUAGGAACCAGGGCACAUCUGGACGGAACCUAACAAAAAGGCACCGGCUAACACCGU